AUCCAUCUCCUGUUUAUAAGCAUGAUGAUUAGGUGUUGAUACAUUUGUGUGAUAUAUCCCUCCCUUAAAUCUUGUUACUCAAGAUUUGGCACUUUACCCAUCUGAUG
ensembl:snoRNA